UACAUGUGGGGGCAAGCGUUGUUCGGAAUUACUGGGCAUAAAGGGUGCGUAGGAGGGCAGGUAAGUCAGUGGUGAAAUCUUUGGGCUUAACCCGAAAACUGCCAUUGAUACUAUCUGUCUUGAAUAUUGUGGAGGUGAGCGGAAUAUGUCAUGUAGCGGUGAAAUGCUUAGAUAUGACAUAGAACACCGAUUGCGAAGGCAGCUCGCUACGCAUAUAUUGACUCUGAGGCACGAAAGCGUGGGGAUCAAACAGG
rnacentral:rRNA from 1 species